GCCGCGAUCGCAUAACCUGGUAUUGCGCCAGCCUUGAGAGCUGGUGUCCUUUGGACGUGCAGGUUCGAAUCCUGCUCGCGGCG
rnacentral:tRNA from 1 species